UGGAUGAGCCCAAGUCGGAUUAGCUUGUUGGUGGGGCAAUGGCCUACCAAGGCAACGAUCCGUAGCUGGUCUGAGAGGAUGAUCAGCCACACUGGGACUGAGACACGGCCCAGACUCCUACGGGAGGCAGCAGUGGGGAAUAUUGGGCAAUGGGGGAAACCCUGAUCCAGCAAUGCCAUGUGUGUGAAGAAGGCUCUAGGGUUGUAAAGCACUUUAGUUGGGGAGGAAAGCUUAUAAGUUAAUAGCUUGUAGGAAGGACGUUACCCAAAGAAUAAGGACCGGCUAACUCCGUGCCAGCAGCCGCGGUAAUA
rnacentral:rRNA from 1 species